UGUGCAGGCGGUCGUUUAAGUUUGGUGUGAAAUCUCCCGGCUCAACUGGGAGGGUGCGCCGAAUACUGAAUGACUAGAGUGCGGGAGGGGAGAGUGGAAUUCCUGGUGUAGCGGUGAAAUGCGUAGAUAUCAGGAGGAACACCGGCGGUGUAGACGGCUCUCUGGACCGCGACUGACGCUGAGACACGAAAGCGUGGGUAGCAAACAGGAUUAGAUACCCUGGUAGUCCACGCCCUAAACGAUGCAUACUUGGUGUGGGCAGUUCAUUCUGUCCGUGCCGGAGCUAACGCGUUAAAUAUGCCGCCUGGGGAGUACAGUCGCAAGGCUGAA
rnacentral:rRNA from 1 species